AAUCAACGCUGGCGGCGUGCCUAACACAUGCAAGUCGAGCGCGAAAGGGGGGCAACUCCCAAGUAGAGCGGCGAACGGGUGAGUAACGCGUGGGUGAUCUACCUUCGAGUGGGGAAUAACAGCGGGAAACUGCUGCUAAUACCGCAUGACAUCCUCGAGUCGUAUCGGGGAUCAAAGCCGGGGACCGCAAGGCCUGGCGCUUGAAGAGGAGCCCGCGUCCGAUUAGCAGUUGGCGGGGUAAUGGCCCACCAAGGCGACGAUCGGUAGCCGGCCUGAGAGGGCGGACGGCCACACUGGAACUGAGACACGGCCCAGACUCCUACGGGAGGCAGCAGUGGGGAAUCUUGCGCAAUGGGCGAAAGCCUGACGCAGCGACGCCGCGUGAGGGAUGACGGC
rnacentral:rRNA from 1 species